rnacentral:rRNA from 1 species
CCAAUAGCGUAUAUUAAAGUUGUUGCAGUUAAAAAGCUCGUAGUUGAACCUCGGGAUCAAUGGAUCGGUCAUGCCAUCGGUAUGUACUGGUCUCAUUGGUUCUCACCUUCUAAGGAACCAUGAUGUCAUUCAGUUGAUGUUGUGGGGAAUUAGGACUGUUACCUUGAAAAAAUUAGAGUGUUUAAAGCAGGCUAACGCUUGAAUACAUUAGCAUGGAAUAAUGAAAUAGGACAUCGCAUUCUAUUUUGUUGGUUUCUAGGAUCGAUGUAAUGAUUAAUAGGGAUAGUUGGGGGCAUUAGUAUUCAAUUGUCAGAGGUGAAAUUCUCGGAUUUAUUGAAGACUAACUACUGCGAAAGCAUUUGCCAAGGAUGUUUUCAUUAAUCAAGAACGAAAGUUAGGGGAUCGAAGACGAUCAGAUACCGUCGUAGUCUUAACCAUAAACUAUGCCGACUAGGGAUCGGAUGAUGUUGAUUUUUUAAUGACUCAUUCGGCACCUUACG